rnacentral:rRNA from 1 species
UACGGAGGGUGCAAGCGUUGUCCGGAAUUAUUGGGCGUAAAGCGCGCGCAGGCGGUCCUUUAAGUCUGAUGUGAAAUCUCGCGGCUCAACCGCGAGCGGUCAUUGGAAACUGGGGGACUUGAGUGCAGAAGAGGAAAGUGGAAUUCCACGUGUAGCGGUGAAAUGCGUAGAGAUGUGGAGGAACACCAGUGGCGAAGGCGACUUUCUGGUCUGUAACUGACGCUGAGGCGCGAAAGCGUGGGGAGCAAACAGG